rnacentral:tRNA from 1 species
UGAUAUAGCUCAGUUGGUAGAGCAGCUCAUUCGUAAUGAGCAGGUCGUGGGUUCGAGUCCCACUAUCA